GACGAACGCUGGCGGCGUGCUUAACACAUGCAAGUCGAACGGAACGGCCCUGCCUUUGUGGGGUGCUCGAGUGGCGGACGGGUGAGUAACACGCGAGUAACCUGCCCCUGCCUUUGGGAUAACUUCAGGCAACUGGGGCUAAUACCGGAUAGGAGCUCCUGCUGCAUGGUGGGGGCUGGAAAGUUUAGGCUGUUGGGGGUGGACUAGCGGCCCAUCAGCUUGUUUGUGGGGUAGUGGCUUAGCAAGGCAUUGACGGGUGGCAUGCCUGCUCGGGGGAGCUGCCACAUCAGGACGGGGAUGCGGCCCAGACUCCAACGGGAGGCAGCAGUGGGGAGGAGUGUACUAGGGGCGGAGGCCAGGUGCAGCAACGCCGCGUGGGGGGUGUCGGCCUGCGGUUUGUAUACCGCUUUCGCCUGUGACGAAGCGUGAGUGACGGUACCGGGUAAAGAAGCACCGGCUAACUACGUG
rnacentral:rRNA from 1 species